CUGAGACAGGCACUUCUGAUGGUUGCCAGUCACCAUGCCAUUCAGCAGCAGGUGGUCCCAAGGAGGGCCCUGCGCCGUGUGCCACCAUGAAAGAUCCAGAGCCCUCGAGCCGCUGUG